UCUUAUAAAGUGUCCAACCCCACCAAAAUUUUGUUUCAAAAGUCUUUAACCCUAAUACCAAACCCCUGUAAAAAGCUCACUCAGUGGUGCUGCUUGCCCCCCCCCUGAAAGGUUUCCACCCGUCCUUUAAAAAAAAAAAUCCACCCUUUUUAAUUAAAAAAGUCAACCCUAUACUUGAUACACUGAACAUAGACAAUAGACAUCCACAACAUCUGCAGCAAUUAGUGGGUGCAAAUACGUGCAUAGUUGAAAAGCAAUAUAACCAACAUGUUGUCAUCCAGUUCCAUACUCUAGUCAAUAGGCAAUUCCAGCUUUUAAUUUAUGCGUGCAGGGGGCAACAGGAAGUAAGGUAUCAUAUUGCUGAUUAUGCUGAAAAAUUUUAAUAAAAUAAACUAAAAGCUGGAAUUGCCUAUUGCACUUGGGUUCCUUGGAUUCAAUGGUGCUGGCCAUAUUCUUACAUUCACUGUUUUAUCUUG